rnacentral:lncRNA from 1 species
UAUGUAUAUGGAUUCCGCCAAAAGAUUCCUAGGUUAGAAGGAGUAAUUGUAAUGUUAUAAUGUUUACUUAUACAAAAACAGUGCAACACCAUCUAACCAAUUAAAGAUACAUUAAAAAAACAUCUAUACAUGAUGUAUGGAAUUGUGACGUCAGAAUGUGAUUUUUAAAAUGACAUUUUUUAAGAAAAAAUGGUAAUGCGGGUUUUCUAAAUUUUUAAAGGCUAGCUGCUUCGAUGUGCUACUUUCGUUUUACGUUUUACUGUGACUCAAACACCUGAGAAAGUCAGUUAUCGUCAAAGGGGAUAGCCCGGUGACGUAACUCGAACUUAUAGAGCUCUACAUUUAAUGAUUAAAUAAAAUGGAAAAACAACGUAGAUCUACUAAAGUAGUAAACAAUAAACAGAUCCUUGUUCUCUAGGAUCACUGGCUUCUAUGUUGCCUUAGAGGACAUUACAUUAUAGAAAAUGAUUAAUAUUCGAUACCUAAGGCGCUCUGUAGACAUUUCCUUGGUCGACAGUCGAGCUCACAUGAGCCACUUCGUUUAAUGGACGGAGUCGGACUUUCACAGAGCAAGGAACGAACUAUCGUCGUUCCUCUGGAGGAGAAUAGGAUUUUUUCCAUGGGCUUUCUGUAAACGCUUCGUUGGAUUGAGUGAGUCUAAUUAAUUGGGAUCCCAUCCCACGACCAUUGGUUGCUUCCUCGUGGGAAGGACAUGGUCAGCCUUCCACGAAUGAAGCAUCAAGCCUACUUGAGACCCAGAGAAUGCGGAGACCCCAUACCCACGACUAUCUGUUGCCACUUCAGGGGAAGGACAGAAUCCUCUCUAUACACUCUUUUGUUGGAGGAUAUAUCAAUUAACCACGUAUAGUUUCUAAAUAAUGUAUAAGCAUUUU